GAUGAACGCUGGCGGCGUGCCUAAUACAUGCAAGUCGAGCGAACAGACGAGGAGUUUGUUCCUCUGACGUUUUCGGCGCACGUGAGUGUAACACAUGGAUCACGUACCUAUAAGACUGGGAUCACUUCGGGAAACCGGAGCUUAUCCCGGAUAAUAUAUUGAACCGCAUGGUUCAAUAGUGAAAUACGGUUUUGCUGUCACUUAUAGGUGGAUCCGCGUCGCAUUAGCUAGUUGGUAAGGUAACGGAUUACCAAGGCAACGAUGCGUAGCCGACCUGAGAGGGUGAUCGGCCACACUGGAACUGAGACACGGUCCAGACUCCUACGGGAGGCAGCAGUAGGGAAUCUUCCGCAAUGGGCGAAAGCCUGACGGAGCAACGCCGCGUGAGUGAUGAAGGUCUUCGGAUCGUAAAACUCUGUUAUUAGGGAAGAACAAAUGUGUAAGUAACUAUGCACGUCUUGACGGUACCUAAUCAGAAAGCCACGGCUAACUACGUG
rnacentral:rRNA from 1 species